rnacentral:tRNA from 1 species
GGUAGCUCAGUUGGUAGAGCACUUGAUUGAAGCUCAAGGUGUCGGCAGUUCGAUUCUGUCCCA